CUAAAAACAAUCGACAUAGUUGCUGUUUCACGGUGACAUUCGUCGGAAAUUGGGUCAUCUUAAACCUUUUGGUUUUUAAGCGGCUUAAAAUUUUCUUUACGAUUCCACGAACGUUUCUAAGAUUUAUUUCUUACACGUUUUUAAGGUAAUCGAUCUUUAUUAGACGUGGCUGUCGCAUCGGAUCGCGUCCAUAAAUAUUUCGUU
rnacentral:misc_RNA from 1 species